rnacentral:rRNA from 1 species
AUUGAACGCUGGCGGCAGGCUUAACACAUGCAAGUCGAGCGGGGUGAUGGUGCUUGCACUAUCACUUAGCGGCGGACGGGUGAGUAAUGCUUAGGAAUCUGCCUAUUAGUGGGGGACAACAUCUCGAAAGGGAUGCUAAUACCGCAUACGUCCUACGGGAGAAAGCAGGGGAUCACUUGUGACCUUGCGCUAAUAGAUGAGCCUAAGUCGGAUUAGCUAGUUGGUGGGGUAAAGGCCUACCAAGGCGACGAUCUGUAGCGGGUCUGAGAGGAUGAUCCGCCACACUGGGACUGAGACACGGCCCAGACUCCUGCGGGAGGCAGCAGUGGGGAAUAUUGGAGAAGGGGGGGAACCCUGAUCCAGCCAUGCCGCGUGUGUGAAGAAGGCCUUAUGGUUGUAAAGCACUUUAAGCGAGGAGGAGGCUCUUUUGGUUAAUACCCAAGAUGAGUGGACGUUACUCGCAGAAUAAGCACCGGCUAACUCUGUGCCAGCCGCCGCCGUAA